UAAUAUUCUGUUUUUGGGGCCCAACAAGAGAGUAUUCCCCCACCAAAGAUGGUCUAAGGAUCAAGGUUGUCUCGGCACCUGAUUGGGUGCGGAGGAAAAUGAUUUUUUUUUUCUUUGCCUCAUUUCAUUUGUAUCUCUCUCUCUCUCUCCUCUCAGUUUUGCGAUUCACCUUGGUAUUGUUGGGUACCAGAAAUUGAAAGAUACAUAAUGAUUUUCAAGGCAAAAUCCAUACGUCGUCCUUGAGUAUAGCGGCGCACAUGCACCGUACCAGAACCUGCACAGGGAUACGACUACUGCAUCUGGACUCUGCAGCAUAAAAUUGGGAGGUGAAAGUUCAAACCUGGGUUGAUCCUGUUGAGAGUGUGGAGUUUGUUGGGGUUGAGGCUAGAUUCUGGAGACGGAUUGUGUCCAAGGAGAAGAAUGCAAACCAUACACACCUUGUUUUUGCAAAUCCUUGUGAUUUUUGUACACCUCUCAAGAACAAGGUUUUUUAUUUUAUUUUACCCCUUUGUAUUAUGACCUAUGAUAUGAGAAUCAAUGCGUUUAAGCUAUUUGUGAUGUUGAAAUGUGAAUGAGUUCAAUCUUUGUUUA